CGCUGGCUCAGAGCGAACGCUGGCGGCGUGCCUAACACAUGCAAGUCGAGCGAAGGUAUCGCGGGGGUAACCCCUAGAUACACUGAGCGGCGAACGGGUGAGUAAUACGUGGAUAACUUGCCUUUAGGACUGGGAUAACCCCGGGAAACUGGGACUAAUACCGGAUAAGACCACAUUGUUCGAGGACACAGAGGUAAAAGGUGGCUAGGCAACUAGCUAUCGCCUAUAGAAAGGUUCACGUCCCAUCAGGCAGUUGGUGAGGUAAUGGCUCACCAAACCUAAGACGGGUAGCCGACCUUAGCGGGUGAACGGCCACACGGGGACUGAGACACGGCCCCGACUCCUACGGGAGGCAGCAGUGGGGGAAUAUUGGGCAAUGGGCGAAAGCCUGACCCAGCGACGCCGCGUUGGGGAAGAAGGCCCUCGGGUUGUAAACCCAUGUCAGGAGGAACGAUGGGUCUGUGGGCUAAUACCUCACAGACUUGACGGUACCUCCAGAGGAAGCCCCGGCUAACUCCGUGCCAGCAGCCGCGGUAA
rnacentral:rRNA from 1 species